UUUAAUUAGGCAAGGCAUUCUCAAACGAACUUUUCAAUUAGGCAAGGCAACUUCUGCAUUCUCAAACCAUCUUUUCAAAUAAGCAAGGCAACUUUAGCAUUCUCAAACCAACUUUUUAAUUAGGCAAGGCAACUUUAGCAUUCUCAAACCAAC